rnacentral:rRNA from 1 species
UACGUAGGGGGCAAGCGUUGUCCGGAAUCAUUGGGCGUAAAGAGCGUGUAGGCGGCUCGGUAAGUCUGCUGUGAAAGUCCAGGGCUCAACCCUGGGAUGCCGGUGGAUACUGUCGAGCUCGAGGCCGGUAGGGGGACGCGGAAUUCCCGGUGUAGUGGUGGAAUGCGUAGAUAUCGGGAGGAACACCUGCGGCGAAGGCGGGUUGCUGGGCUGACACUGACGCUGAUGCGCGAAAGCCAGGGGAGCGAACGGG